AUUGCACGCUGGCGGCAGGCCUAACACAUGCAAGUCGAACGAGUGGCGGACGGGUGAGUAAUGUCUGUGAAACUGCCUGAUGGAGGGGGAUAACUACUGGAAACGGUAUCUCAUCCCGCAUACCAUCAGAUGUGCCCAGAUUGGAUUAGCUAUUUGUUGGGGUAACUGCUCACCAAGGCGACGCUCCCUAGCUGUUCUGAGAGGAUGACCAGCCAAACUGGAACGGAGCCACGGUCCAGACUCCUACGGGAGGCAGCAGUGGGGAAUAUUGCACAAUGGGCGCAAGCCGGAUGCAGCCAUGCGGCGUUUAGGAAGAAGGCCUUCGGGUUGUAAAGUACUUUCAGCGGGGAGGCGUUAACCGAAGAAGAAGCACCGGCUAACUCCGUGCCAGCAGCCGCGGUAAUUC
rnacentral:rRNA from 1 species